GAUGAACGCUGGCGGCGUGCCUAAUACAUGCAAGUCGAGCGAACAGACGAGGAGCUUGCUCCUCUGACGUUAGCGGCGGACGGGUGAGUAACACGUGGAUAACCUACCUAUAAGACUGGGAUAACUUCGGGAAACCGGAGCUAAUACCGGAUAAUAUAUUGAACCGCAUGGUUCAAUAGUGAAAGACGGUUUUGCUGUCACUUAUAGAUGGAUCCGCGCCGCAUUAGCUAGUUGGUAAGGUAACGGCUUACCAAGGCAACGAUGCGUAGCCGACCUGAGAGGGUGAUCGGCCACACUGGAACUGAGACACGGUCCAGACGCCUACGGGAGGCAGCAGUAGGGAAUCUUCCGCAAUGGGCGAAAGCCUGACGGAGCAACGCCGCGUGAGUGAUGAAGGUCUUCGGAUCGUAAAACGCUGUUAUUAGGGAAGAACAAAUGUGUAAGUAACUAUGCACGUCUUGACGGUACCUAAUCAGAAAGACACGGCGAACUACGU
rnacentral:rRNA from 1 species